rnacentral:rRNA from 1 species
GACGAACGCUGGCGGCGUGCUUAACACAUGCAAGUCGAACGGAAAGGCCCUGCUUUUGUGGGGUGCUCGAGUGGCGAACGGGUGAGUAACACGUGAGUAACCUGCCCUUUACUUUGGGAUAACUUCAGGAAACUGGGGCUAAUACCGGAUAGGAGCUCCUGCUGCAUGGUGGGGGUUGGAAAGUUUCGGCGGUUGGGGAUGGACUCGCGGCUUAUCAGCUUGUUGGUGGGGUAGUGGCUUACCAAGGCUUUGACGGGUAGCCGGCCUGAGAGGGUGACCGGCCACAUUGGGACUGAGAUACGGCCCAGACUCCUACGGGAGGCAGCAGUGGGGAAUAUUGCACAAUGGGCGGAAGCCUGAUGCAGCAACGCCGCGUGCGGGAUGACGGCCUUCGGGCUGUAAACCGCUUUCGCCUGUGACGAAGCGUGAGUGACGGUAAUGGGUAAAGAAGCACCGGCUAACUACGUG